GAUGAACGCUGGCGGCGUGCCUAAUACAUGCAAGUCGAGCGAACAGACGAGGAGCUUGCUCCUCUGACGUUAGCGGCGGACGGGUGAGUAACACGUGGAUAACCUACCUAUAAGACUGGGAUAACUUCGGGGAACCGGAGCUAAUACCGGAUCAUAUAUUGAAAGGCAUGGUUCAAUAGUGAAAGACGGUUUUGCUGUCCCUUAUUGAUGUAUCCACGUCGGAGUAGCUAGUUGGUAAGGGAACGGCGUACCAAGACAAGGAUUCGUAGAUGACCUGAGAGGGUGAUCAGCCACACUGGAACUAGGACACGUUCCAGACACCUACGGGAGGCCACAGUGGGGAAUCUUGCCAAAUGGGCGAAAGCCUGACGGAGCCACGCCGCGUGAGUGAAGAAGGUCUUCGGAUCGUAAAGCUCUGUUAUUAGGGAAGAACAGAAGUAAAAUAACAUAUAGCUGUCUUGACGUAACCAAAUCAAAAAGCCCCGGCUAACUACGUG
rnacentral:rRNA from 1 species